rnacentral:rRNA from 1 species
AUUGAACGCUGGCGGCAGGCCUAACACAUGCAAGUCGAACGAGUGGCGGACGGGUGAGCAAUGUCUGGGAACCUGCCUGACGGACGGGGAUAACUACUGGAAACGGUAGCUAAUAGCGCAUACCACCCGAUGGGCCCAGAUGGGAGUAGCUAGCUGGUGGGGUAACGGCUCACCAAGGCGACGAUCCCUAGCUGGUCUGAGAGGAUGACCAGCCACACUGGAACUGAGACACGGUCCAGACUCCUACGGGAGGCAGCAGUGGGGAAUAUUGCACAAUGGGCGAAAGCCUGAUGCAGCCAUGCCGCGUGUAUGAAGAAGGCCUUCGGAUUGUAAAGUACUUUCAGCGGAGAGGCGUUACCCGCAGAAGAAGCGCCGGCUAACUCCGUGCCAGCAGCCGCGGUAAUUC